rnacentral:rRNA from 2 species
GACGAACCGUGCGAACGUUGUUCGGAAUCACUGGGCUUAAAGGGCGCGUAGGCGGGCGGGCAAGUCUGCGGUGAAAGCCUCCAGCUCAACUGGAGAAGUGCCGUGGAUACUGCUCAUCUUGAGGAGGGUAGGGGCGUCUGGAACGUUGGGUGGAGCGGUGAAAUGCGUUGAUAUCCAACGGAACUCCGGUGGCGAAGGCGAGGCGCUGGACCCUUUCUGACGCUGAUGCGCGAAAGCCAGGGGAGCGAACGGG